rnacentral:rRNA from 1 species
UACGAAGGGGGCUAGCGUUGCUCGGAAUUACUGGGCGUAAAGCGCACGUAGGCGGCUUUCUAAGUCGGGGGUGAAAUCCUGGAGCUCAACUCCAGAACUGCCUUCGAUACUGGAGAGCUUGGAGUUCCGGGAGAGGUGAGUGGAACUGCGAGUGUAGAGGUGAAAUUCGUAGAUAUUCGCAAGAACACCAGUGGCGAAGGCGGCUCAGCUGGACC